GGAAAUGUUGUGUCUGGGGCAGGCCAGAACUGAGCUAUGAUUAGCCAAUAAGCAGAGGCUGUGCUCAGCUGUGUUACAGUACUGGCUUCCCUGCACAGCUGUGUAAAAAACAUCUGGUCCCUCACUUGUUAUACAAACCAUUUUGGAAACAAACUGAAAGAAAAGAAAUCCAUAGAGAGGAAUAGCACAGAGCUUUGGAGCUGGGGGAAAUUUGCAGAUUUACGACCAUCUUUUGGUGCGGUGGAGUUUUGAGUCUUAAAUCCACCAUGUUUUGUUCCUCUUCACUGUAAUACUGAUGUUAUAGCUGUAAACCAACAGAAGGAAUCAUCCUAUUGGGGCUGAUAUGAUGUGAGACCUGGUAAAACACAGCGAAAAGCAUUUACUAAAUACAUCUCAGAUUGAGGUAAGGAGAGAGGCACAAUGCAGGCCUAUGCUUCAGCAAGACUACAACCAAUCACCAAAUACAGAUUGUGUUAAACCUUUUAUAAACUGCAGCAAAAUUCUGUCAGCACCUGUGAGCAUUUUGGGAUAUAAAUCUGACACAAUGUGACAACUUGUGUGAAUUUUUCUUUUUUUUUCCUCUUUUCUUCAAGGUUGACGGAAAUGCAUCCAACAACAGAAUUUUCUUCAUAUUUUUUUUUAUGCACUGUUAAUAUUCAAAGCAUGGACAGAGGAAUAUACAUACAAUUUGGCACACAUGGUUUAAACCAACAGAAAGACUUCAUCACAUUUAAAGAGGAGUGCAGGUUGGCAAGUCCCCACAUAAGAGUAUGAGCUUUGAACUUUAAACCCUUGGAUAACAAAAAACAAACAAACGAACAAAAAUAUAAAGGUAAAUCAAAAUAACAUAGUAAGUAAAACAUCUUUUUUUUUUUUUCUCAUUUCAAAACUGAAGCGUUUGUUUCUCACAUGGCACUCGGAACAGAAGCACCGUCCACAGGUUCACAAAGGGGGCCCAGCAGAUUAGAACAGAACACUAACCAGAGGCUGACAGGACACAAUCACUCCCCACACCAGCGUGCCGGUCGCACUCCAGCCCACGUCGCUCGGACCUGCUCCACGUUUUACUUCCCACAGUCAAGGAUGGAUGAAUGCUUUGAUUUUAGCUGCCACCCAGGAGAAGUUGGCAAGCUGAAAAUGAGGGGACUUUUGCAUGAGUUUGUGUGUUUCUGUGUGUGUGUGUGCCACCUGUGCUUUCAGUGAGCUUUAGCAGAUACAGUGGGAGCGCAUGAUGGGAAAUGGGCUGCAAACCUGGAGCAAAAUCAAAGCCUGUGCUGGACUGGAGUGAGACCGCCAUGCUUGCAAGUGCAUUAAGAUCAGCGAGCAGAGUGCAAAAUACUAAUACCAACUGUCCUCAUAAUACAGGCCUCUUAUCAGACAGGAGGGAGAGAUAGAGUAAGAUGUGUUGGUUGGUUGGUUUCAGAGCUACAUCGUACUGUAGCAGAGUAGUGUAAGGAGGGAACGUCUGGUAGGAGUUGGGGGGGGGGGCUUUUAAAACCUGACAAAUGACCUGAGGACACACGCACAUCUUCACACAUAAUGGCACACCACACACAGCACAUGAGGGAGGCCACUCAUGCUAACACAACAACUUUUUUUCGGAAACAUUUUUUUGUUUUUUUUGUUUUUUACAAAGUCACUAGUCACCAUCUGAGUCUUGACACAGAGGCCAGACUCACAGACAGGCAGUGAGGCGGGCAGGUGGAUAAAUAGUCAAGGUUUAAAGUAGAUUGACUCAGACGUGAAGGAUUUGGUGCAAUGAAAUAUGAAGGACUGGCCUUGAAGGGAUAAUUCACUCUCCAAAAAAAUGAAAAGAAACAAAUGUCUUU
ensembl:lncRNA